GAGGGUAUAGCUUAAGUGGUAGAGUGCAUGCUUAGCAUGCACAAGGUCCUGGGUUCAAUCCCCAGUACCUUCU
rnacentral:tRNA from 1 species